AUACGUAGGGUGCAAGCGUUAAUCGGAAUUACUGGGCGUAAAGCGUGCGCAGGCGGUUUUGUAAGACAGAGGUGAAAUCCCCGGGCUCAACCUGGGAACUGCCUUUGUGACUGCAAGGCUAGAGUACGGCAGAGGGGGAUGGAAUUCCGCGUGUAGCAGUGAAAGGCGUAGAUAUGCGGAGGAACACCGAUGGCGAAGGCAAUCCCCGGGGCCUGCGCUGACGCUCAUGCACGAAAGCGUGGGGAGCAAACAGGAUUAGAUACCCUGGUAGUCCACGCCCUAAACGAUGUCAACUGGUUGUUGGGGAUUUAUUUUCUCAGUAACGAAGCUAACGCGUGAAGUGGACCGCCUGGGGAGUACGGCCGCAAGGUUAAAACUCAAAGGAAUUGACGGGG
rnacentral:rRNA from 1 species